CUCAGAUCUUGUGCGCUGAAAAUUUUGCAGGGAAGAUUCAAUGACUUUUUUUUAGAGGCCACAGAUAAAUAUUCUCAAAGCCGCCUCUUAUACUGGCAAUAUUUUAUAUUAUAUUCUAGCCUUAUUUUAAAAUUGGAGUUGAUGUGUUUUGUGUACAAGAGAAUUACAUAAGAUAUCACAGGUGUUUUCUUGACUUUCAUUUGAUGUGGGACUCUCGUUUUAAGAGCAAGAAGUCUUAGCCCUCUAACAUUCUAUUAGUGCUAUUUUCUGAAAUUGCAUAUAAAUACUUGCGUUACCUCCAAAAAAACAAGACUGUUAUAUCUGCCAGAGAGAAUUCCCUUUCCCUUUAUGCUAUUUAGCUAGUUAGUAAGCCCAAAUAAGUUUCAAAGCAAACACAGCUGAGAGUGUGCUACCUGUGCACAACUCUGAUAUAAAUAAAGUGAAUACAAGAAUAUUCUUACAUGCUUGAUAAAAAGAAUAUGCUGACUUCUCAGGAUUUCUACAGAGAUUUGGAAACAGGGAUUUUUGUACAUUAACAUUAAAAGUUUGCUGUGAAUAGCAGAGUGGGAAAAUUACAUAUAGCAGGAAUAAUUCUCUAAGCUAAGUCUACUUUCCUUGUCAUCCCCCCAUGCAACAAUGAUGAGUAUGAAUCCAUUUUCUUCCUUUCAAAAUAUAGACCUUAAAAAUGAGACAAGCACGCUGUAGGAAGUAGAUGUGUAGGAUGCAUGUUAAAAUAAUGAGGGUAAUUGAAUGUACCUUGAAAAAUGAAAACAAUGUGGAAAAUUAUAAGUUAGAGAUCAUGUAAAAUCAAUGCAUACAAAGUUUGUGAAAAGAGGCAGGUGACUAGAAAGCAGUGAUAUUUUAAAUGAUAGCUGGAAAGCACAUAUUUACUUCAGUUUUGCUUUCUUAUUUUUUUUCUUUUCAGUUUGUAUUUACCAAAUUGCCAAAACAGCAGCGAUUUCUGAGAAGCCUGGGUUUCUUCCAAGCUGGAAAGAGACAUGACUAAAAUUAAAAUUACAUCAACUGUGCUUAUGGAGGACCAAAAAGAGGCCUGCACUGGAG
rnacentral:lncRNA from 1 species